rnacentral:rRNA from 1 species
AUGAAAGGUAGCAGAGUAAUAACAACUACACGAAUUCAUACUGUGGGUAUGGUGUGCUGCUCCAAUCAUUGUGAGUAUGUUUAUAGGAUGAAGUCACUAAGCAACCAAGAGUCAAGGCAGUUAUUUUUCAAGAGAGUAUUUGGCUCAGAAGAUCUUUGUCCUCCUUUUCUGGAAGAAGUUUCAUGCAAAAUUUUAAGAAGAUGCGGCGGCUUGCCACUCGCAAUUAUUAUUAUAUCUAGCCUUUUGGCUAGUCAACGAAGCAAACUGAAGGAGCAGUGGGAGCAUGUACUGAAUUCUCUGGGCUCCAUCUUGGAAGUGCAUCCCACGUUGGAGGGAAUGAGACAAAUACUAAGCCUUAGCUACAAAAAUCUUCCUCACUAUCUGAAGACAUGCAUGCUAUAUAUCGGUAUAUAUCCAGAGGAUUACACAAUCGAGAAGAAUGAUUUGGUUAGACAAUGGGUAGCCCAAGGUUUUAUA